CUUGGUGACUAAAGAGAGUAGGGUACACCUGUUCCCAUCCCGAACACAGAAGUUAAGCUACUCUUCGCCAAUGAUACUUGUAACAUCGUUGCAGGAAAAGUAGGGCGUCGCCAAGG
rnacentral:rRNA from 1 species